CGGCUACCACAUCUAAGGAAGGCAGCAGGCGCGUAAAUUACCCAAUCCUAAUUCAGGGAGGUAGUGACAAGAAAUAACGGACCGGAGCUUUUGUUCCGGGAUCGCAAUGAGUUGAAUUUAAACCCCUUGACGAGGAUCAAUUGGAGGGCAAGUCUGGUGCCAGCAGCCGCGGUAAUUCCAGCUCCAAGAGCGUAUAUUAAAGUUGUUGCGGUUAAAAAGCUCGUAGUUGAACCGAGGGGGCGGCGCGCGGCAAAAAAGCUCCGGGUCCUCCGCUCGUCGCGGGGGGUUCGGGGUCGCGCGUCCGCUUUCGAGUUCGCGGUGUUAAAACCGGCUCGAUCGGGGGCGGGGGUUUUUCCUCCGUCGUCGGUCGCGGUCGGAUCGCGGAGUGUUACUUUGAAUAAAUUAGAGUGUUCAAAGCGGACGGAUCACGUCUCGAAUAGAUUAGCAUGGGAUAACGAAACAAGACCAAACAGGGGGGCGCUUCCGGGCGUUCCCGUCGGUCCAAAUUUGCUGGUUUCUGGGGCCGAGGUAAUGAUUAACAGGGACGGUUGGGGUCGCCCGUACUCGGUGGAGAGAGGUGAAAUUCUAAGACCCAUCGAAGACGAACAAGUGCGAAGGCAUUCGACAAGGAUGUUUUCUUUAAUCAAGAACGAAUGUUAUGGGAUCGAAGAUGAUCAGAUACCGUCGUAGUCAUAACCGUAAACGAUGUUGACUCGGGAUCCAGGGAUGUUACAUGGAUGACUCUCUGGGCACCGUGUGCGAAAGCACAAGUAUUCGAACUCCGGGGGGAGUAUGGUCGCAAGGCUGAAACUUAAAGGAAUUGACGGAAGGGCACCACCAGGUGUGGAAUCUGCGGCUUAAUUUGACCCAACACGGGGAAACUUACCCAGUCCGGACGCGACGAGGAUUGACAGAUUGAUAGUUCUUUCUUGAUUUCGUGGAAGCCGGUGCAUGGCCGUUUUUAGUUGGUGGAGCGAUUUGUCUGGUUAAGUCCGAUAACGAACGAGACCUAAUUUUAUUAAAUAGUGGUGCGAACAAGGGGGCUUUCGCGGCGGCGGCGGGUUCGGGUUCUCCCGGCUCGUCGUCUCGUCGCGGGGCUCCCGCUAAUUUGUCCGCAGCGAUUGUACUUCUUAGAGAGACACUUGGUCGAUAACAGCAGCCAAUGGAAGUUUUAGGCAAAAACAGGUCUGUGAUGCCGCUAGAUGUCUGGGGCUGCACGCGCGUUACACUGACGUGUUCAACGAGUAUUUUAGAACGACCUGGCCCGAGGGGGUUUGGGCAAUCUCUAAACGCACGUCGUGAUGGGGAUCGUGCUUUGUAACUAUCGCACGUGAACGAGGAAUACCUAGUAAGGGCAGGUCAUCAACCUGUCCUGAUUACGUCCCUGCCCUUUGUACACACCGCCCGUCGCUUCUACCGAUUGAAUUGCUCGAUGAGGACUCGGGAGACGGAGCGUGGCGGCGGUCCUCGUGGCCGCCGCAUCUCGUUUCUUCGUCGAACCUGUUCGAAUCCCGCAGUUUAGAGGAAGAAGAAGUCGUAACAAGGUC
rnacentral:rRNA from 1 species